rnacentral:rRNA from 1 species
AGGGUUUGAUCCUGGCUCAGAGCGAACGCUGGCGGCGUGGUUUAGGCAUGCAAGUCGCGCGCGAAAGUGGACUUCGGUCUGCGAGUAGAGCGGCGAAAGGGUGAGUGAUGCAUAGGCAACCUACCCCCCACAUCGGUAUAGCGUCUGGAAACGGACGGUAAUCCCGAAUAGUCCCACGGAUGGGCAUCCAUCAGUGGGUAAAGAUGGGGAUCUUCGGACCUUUCGGUCGGGGAGGGGCCUAUGUCCCAUCAGCUAGUUGGUGAGGUAACGGCUCACCAAGGCUUUGACGGGUAGCCGGACUGAGAGGUUGGCCGGUCACACUGGGACUGAGACACUGCCCAGACUCCUACGGGAGGCUGCAGUCGAGAAUCUUCCGCAAUGGACGAAAGUCUGACGGAGCGACGCCGCGUGUAGGAUGAAGGCCUUCGGGUUGUAAACUACUGUCACGGGUUAAGAAUGGCAGUGCGUUAAUAGCGUGCUGUUCGACAAAGGCCCGAGAGGAAGCCACGGCUAACUCCGUGCCAGCAGCCGCGGUAAUACGGAGGUGGCAAGCGUUGCUCGGAAUCACUGGGCAUAAAGGGCGUCUAGGCGGAGCGGUAAGUCGGCUGUGAAAUCCCUCGGCUCAACCGAGGAAGUGCAACCGAUACUGUCGUUCUUGAGGGCAAGAGGGGAGAGUGGAACUCCUGGUGGAGCGGUGAAAUGCGUAGAUAUCAGGAGGAACGCCGGUGGCGAAAGCGACUCUCUGGCUUGUACCUGACGCUGAAGCGCGAAAGCUAGGGGAGCGAACGGGAUUAGAUACCCCGGUAGUCUAGCCGUAAACGAUGGGCACUAAGUAGUGGCGUUUUCGAUGGCGUCACUGCCGCAGCUAAUGUGUUAGGUGCCCCGCCUGGGGAGUAUGGUCGCAAGGCUGAAACUCAAAGGAAUUGACGGGGGCUCACACAAGCGGUGGAGGAUGUUGCUUAAUUCGAAACAACGCGAAGAACCUUACCUGGGCUUGACAUUCUUGUGGUAGGACCCCGAAAGGGGAACGACCCGGGGCAACCCGGGAGCUUGAACAGGUGUUGCAUGGCUGUCGUCAGCUCGUGCCGUGAGGUGUUGGGUUAAGUCCCGUAACGAGCGAAACCCUUGUCGUUAGUUGCCAGCGGGUAAUGCCGGGGACUCUAACGAGACUGCCGGUGUCAAACCGGAGGAAGGUGGGGAUGACGUCAAGUCAUCAUGGCCCUUACGCCCAGGGCUGCAAACGUCCUACAAUGGCGCGUACAAAGGGAAGCGAACCCGCGAGGGUAAGCCAAUCCCACAAAGCGCGUCCCAGUUCGGAUUGUGGGCUGAAAUUCGCCCACAUGAAGUCGGAAUCGCUAGUAAUCGCGGAUCAGCAUGCCGCGGUGAAUAUGUUCCUGAGCCUUGUACACACCGCCCGUCAAGCCACGGAAGCCGGGAGUGCCCGAAGCCCGUGACCCAACCCUUGGGAGGGAGCGGUCAACGGUAAGCCCGGUGACUGGGACUAAGUCGUAACAAGGUA